rnacentral:tRNA from 1 species
GCGCGCAUAGUUUAAUUUUUUUAAAAUUUUGUUUUUGUAAAACAAGGAUAGUUUAUAGUAACUUGCUCGCA